rfam:Gossypium raimondii Chr09_contig_17, whole genome shotgun sequence.
UGUUAAAAUUUUUAUUCAUUUAUACUAUUAAAAACUGACGUGACUGACAAAAUAACCGGACAGUGACCACAUGACGUGCCAUAUGUACCUCAUGCUAUUGUACAAGACUAGUUUAUAACCGUAAGAAUGAACAGAAUUUUUAAUA